AUUGAACGCUGGCGGCAUGCUUUACACAUGCAAGUCGAACGGUAACAGGCCUUCGGGUGCUGCCGAGUGGCGGACGGGGGCGUAAUGCAUCGGAACGUACCCAGAGGUGGGGGUUAACGCAGCGAAAGCUGGGCUAAUGCCGCAUGUGAUCGGAGGAUGACAGCGGGGGACCGCGCAGCAAUGUUUGGCCUCGCGCCUUUGGAGCGGCCGAUGUCGGAUUAGCUAGUUGGUGGGGUAAAGGCCUACCAAGGCGACGAUCCGUAGCUGGUCUGAGAGGACGACCAGCCACACUGGGACUGAGACACGGCCCAGACUCCUACGGGAGGCAGCAGUGGGGAAUUUUGGACAAUGGGCGCAAGCCUGAUCCAGCCAUGCCGCGUGCGGGAAGAAGGCCUUCGGGUUGUAAACCGCUUUUGGCAGGAACGAAACGGUGUCCGCUAAUACCGGGCGCUAAUGACGGUACCUGCAGAAUAAGCACCGGCUAACUACGUG
rnacentral:rRNA from 1 species